rnacentral:rRNA from 1 species
CGAAGCGUGCGAUUGGAUUGCACGUCUAAGCAGUAAGGCUGAGUAUUAGGCAAAUCCGGUACUCAUUAAGGCUGAGCUGUGAUGGGGAGAAGACAUUGUGUCUUCGAGUCGUUGAUUUCACACUGCCGAGAAAAGCCUCUAGAUAGAAAAUAGGUGCCCGUACCGCAAACCGACACAGGUAGUCAAGAUGAGAAUUCUAAGGUGAGCGAGCGAACUCUCGUUAAGGAACUCGGCAAAAUGACCCCGUAACUUCGGGAGAAGGGGUGCUCUUUAGGGUUAACGCCCAGAAGAGCCGCAGUGAAUAGGCCCAAGCGACUGUUUAUCAAAAACACAGGUCUCUGCUAAACCGUAAGGUGAUGUAUAGGGGCUGACGCCUGCCCGGUGCUGGAAGGUUAAGAGGAGUGGUUAGCUUCUGCGAAGCUACGAAUCGAAGCCCCAGUAAACGGCGGCCGUAACUAUAACGGUCCUAAGGUAGCGAAAUUCCUUGUCGGGUAAGUUCCGACCCGCACGAAAGGCGUAACGAUUUGGGCACUGUCUCAACGAGAGACUCGGUGAAAUCAUAGUACCUGUGAAGAUGCAGGUUACCCGCGACAGGACGGAAAGACCCCGUGGAGCUUUACUGUAGCCUGAUAUUGAAAUUCGGCACAGCUUGUACAGGAUAGGUAGGAGCCUUUGAAACGUGAGCGCUAGCUUACGUGGAGGCGCUGGUGGGAUACUACCCUAGCUGUGUUGGCUUUCUAACCCGCACCACUUAUCGUGGUGGGAGACAGUGUCAGGCGGGCAGUUUGACUGGGGCGGUCGCCUCCUAAAAGGUAACGGAGGCGCUCAAAGGUUCCCUCAGAAUGGUUGGAAAUCAUUCAUAGAGUGUAAAGGCAUAAGGGAGCUUGACUGCGAGACCUACAAGUCGAGCAGGGUCGAAAGACGGACUUAGUGAUCCGGUGGUUCCGCAUGGAAGGGCCAUCGCUCAACGGAUAAAAGCUACCCCGGGGAUAACAGGCUUAUCUCCCCCAAGAGUUCACAUCGACGGGGAGGUUUGGCACCUCGAUGUCGGCUCAUCGCAUCCUGGGGCUGUAGUCGGUCCCAAGGGUUGGGCUGUUCGCCCAUUAAAGCGGUACGCGAGCUGGGUUCAGAACGUCGUGAGACAGUUCGGUCCCUAUCCGUCGUGGGCGUAGGAAAUUUGAGAGGAGCUGUCCUUAGUACGAGAGGACCGGGAUGGACAUACCUCUGGUGUACCAGUUGUCGUGCCAACGGCAUAGCUGGGUAGCUAUGUGUGGACGGGAUAAGUGCUGAAAGCAUCUAAGCAUGAAGCCCCCCUCAAGAUGAGAUUUCCCAACUUCGGUUAUAAGAUCCCUCAAA